rnacentral:rRNA from 1 species
UGGGGAAUUUUGCGCAAUGGGCGAAAGCCUGACGCAGCGAUGCCGCGUGUACGAUGAAGGCCUUUGGGUCGUAAAGUACUGUCAACUGAGACGAAAGCGUCCUGUUUAAGAGAUAGGACGUGUGACGGUAUCAGUGGUGGAAGCGCCGGCUAACUCUGUGCCAGCAGCCGCGGUAAUACAGAGGGCGCAAACGUUGCUCGGAAUGACUGGGCGUAAAGAGCUUGUAGGCGGCGGGUUAAGUCGACUGUGAAAGCCCAUGGCUCAACCAUGGAAGUGCAGUCGAUACUGGCUCGCUUGAGUCCCGGAGGGGGUGGUAGAAUUCCUAGUGUAGAGGUGAAAUUCGUAGAUAUUAGGAGGAAUACCGGUGGCGAAGGCGACCACCUGGACGGGUACUGACGCUGAGAUGCGAAAGCGUGGGGAGCAAACAGGAUUAGAUAC